CAGCCUACGGGGGGCAGCAGUGAGGAAUAUUGGUCAAUGGGCGGUAGCCUGAACCAGCCAAGUAGCGUGAAGGAUGAAGGUUCUAUGGAUUGUAAACUUCUUUUAUAAAGGAAUAAAGUGAGGCACGUGUGCCUUUUUGUAUGUACUUUAUGAAUAAGGAUCGGCUAACUCCGUGCCAGCAGCCGCGGUAAUACGUAGGAUCCGAGCGUUAUCCGGAUUUACUGGGUGUAAAGGGCGUGUAGUCGG
rnacentral:rRNA from 1 species